rnacentral:lncRNA from 1 species
UUUAAUCAAAAUUAUUUUGUUUGUUGUAGUAAUGCAUUUUCCUUCUUUUUAUCAAUGAUUCAAUCAUAUCGUGAGAUAUACAAAUCAAAAAUACAAAGGAGUCAUGUCAUGAAAGAUAUGAGAUCACAAGUGUAACACGUAAUUUCAAAACAUAAGAUUUCAAAUCAUUAUGCAACAUUAAAACUACAACAUGAUUAUUUUCAAUUAAAAUG